ACCAAUGAUGACGGAUCAACCGGCUGAAUAGUAGUGAUGAUAUCGGUCUUGUCUGAGG
rnacentral:snoRNA from 1 species